rnacentral:lncRNA from 13 species
GCACCAUCGUGUGUCUCUCUUCAAGACAUCAGCACCCUCAGUGGAAGCUAUUUGGAGUAUGCCUGGUCCAGCUGCAGCCUUGUAUGGAGCCAUACAGGCACCUCGAGUUGCUUUCCCCACCAUAGCCAGCAUGUCUGUCUGUGCACAGUGGCCGAAUGCCACACUUGCUUGCCUAUACACCUCUCACCACUCCACACCUGGCCUAUCCUUGGCAGUUGUAGGACCUGGACCAGGAGCACAAGCCAAGCACAGCCUACCAGGCUGAGUGAGCAGAAUGAGCCCAGCGGGCAUGAGAAAAACUCAAGCAGAGGUGCUGCUGGCCACAGAAGUUUCCAGCUAAUGAAGCAACACUGGAAGGAUCUUGUCACACAGGUACUAUUGAAGAAGAGCUAUGACUGUGUUAAGAAUUUUGUCAUCCACAAUCGUUUUGCUUUCAUCUCAAAAUGUGACUUAUAGUCAGCCACAGUCCAGGAUUGUUUCUUUGACGGACUUCAUAAAAAUGACUCCUAAAUGCAAGUUUCUGAUUAUUUUGGAGAUUGUGCAAUUGGACUAGAGGUAAAAUUUCCAGGGCACUAAUUGAAAGGCUGGUAUGUUCAUAAAGAUUGCUAACCUUAUAUGAAACAGAGCAAUAGUUGAUUGCAUGAACUGACGAACAGGGGACUGAAACAAUUUUUAUGCCUUUUUUUGUGUUUGAAAUAUUGAUGAUUCUUUUUGUUUUUUAGUCUGGAGAUUUUUUUUCUAUUAAGCUAUGUAUAUUUUAUUUUAUUUUAUUUUUAACUCUCUUGCCCAGGCUGGAGUGCAGUGGCAUGAUCUCGGCUCACUGCAACCUCCACCUCCUGGGUUCAGGUGAUUUUUCUGCCUCAGCCUCUGAGCAGCUGGGACUACAGGUGUGCACCACCAUGCCUGGCUAAUUUUUUUGUGUUUUUAGUAGAGAUGGCGUUUUACUAUCUUGGCCAGGCUGGUCUCUAACUCCUGACUUUGUGAUCUGCCCACUUCAGCCUCCCAAAGAGUUGGGAUUACAGGCGUGAGCCACUGCGCCUGGCCUGUACAGCUCUUAAGUAUACUUUAAGUAUAAUGAGUAGUGUAUACUUUCAUAAAUGGAAUUUAAGGCAUAUUUCUCUUUCUCUGCUUAAUUUCUUCAGAAUUUGUAAACUAUUUCUAAAUAGUGUUAAUUUAUGCCAAUGUGUUUGUUUACGUAAGUUCAAUAAGAAUCUGUCUUCAUUUAUAAUGGGACAUAGUUGGAGGAACUGAUUAUUGUCCCAGGGCUUUGAUUGAAAUAGCCUUGUGAGAGGUUCCAGUAAGGGCAAUUUAGGAUCGCCUACGUAGACAGUGAUUCUUGCUGCACUUUGUGUGGGUAAUCAGGCGAAGCAUAUAGGACUGAAGCUUAUUUUGCUGGUAGAUUGGUCCUGCUGUGAUUUGUCAUUGGUAGAAGUCUGGGACUGGAGAGAGAAUGAUU